GUCACGCAUGCGUGCGAACGCACCACAUUCCGGAACGGGAAGAAGGAGCUGUCUCUCUCUUCUGAGGGGUAGGCAGGUGCUUCCGAAUCGCGGAAUGUAGGUGCUCGUAAGCUGGAGACCCACGGAAAGAACCUAGAAGCUCCGAGCGGUUGCAGACAGCACUGCAUUGAGCCAACGACUCCUGCUCUACUGAUGGUGAUUCCACAGCUUUUUGCAGUUUCCCCUGGACUUCUUUCUCUCUCCUGCCGCCUUGUGAAGAAGGUGCCUGCUUCCCCUUCCACCACGAUUCUAAGUUUCCUGAAGUCUCCC
rnacentral:lncRNA from 1 species